AGACCGAUAGCGAACAAGUAGAGUGAUCGAAAGAUGAAAAGCACCUUGAAAAGAGGGUUAAAUAGUACGUGAAAUUGUUGAAAGGGAAGCGCUUGUGACCAGACUUGGGCGCGGCGGAUCAUCCGGGGUUCUCCCCGGUGCACUUCGCCGCGUCCAGGCCAGCAUCAGUUCGUCGCGGGGGAUAAAGGCUUCGGGAACGUGGCUCCUCCGGGAGUGUUAUAGCCCGUUGCGCAAUACCCUGCGGUGGACUGAGGACCGCGCAUCUGCAAGGAUGCUGGCGUAAUGGUCACCAGCGACCCGUCUUGAAACACGGACCAAG
rnacentral:rRNA from 1 species